rnacentral:lncRNA from 1 species
UAAACCGGUAUACAUAAACCAAUAAGAGCCAACGCAAAAAAUAAAGAUCCCAAAUUUCCAGUUUUGUGUUUUCAAAAGAGUUAUUCUUGGGUUUACCCCCUAGGGUGAACCUCUAGAUUCACCAACCAAUAUAAUUUUAUUAUUUCAAAUUCGAUAUCUUUUAGAAAAAGAAACAAAAUAUUGUCAAGUUAUAUUAUGGUUUUAAAAUAAAAUAAAAAGUAAAAAAAAUAGUAGUUACAGA